AGUGAAAUAACUGGGUCAAAUGGUGGUUGCAUUCCAAGUUUUUUAAGGAAUAUUCAUAAUGCAUUCCAUAGUGGUUGCACCAAUUUGCAGUCUCACCAGCAAU
rnacentral:pre_miRNA from 1 species